CUCGGUACUUUGCACGAGUAUAUAAACCUCUUGGGUCAAUCUACGUAUAAAAGAACAUUGCAUGCUCUUAACGUUUGAAAAGUGUGCAAUAUCAGCAUUGCACACAGAGAAUUAAACCGUGGCAAAAACGUGUUCCAGGACAAACACUUGAGCAUAUUACAUCACAGGGAAAAGAAAGCAGGCAGGAGCGCUGGGCUUUGACCCAGGCCAUAUCCCAGAUUCCCAACGUCGAUCCUAUAACGCCAAUUCAAGUAAAUUCUCUACUCAUGAUUCUUCAAAGGUCUUCAGACCAACAACAAAGAUCCUAUAACGUCAAUUCAAGUAAAUUCUCAACUCAUGAUUCUUCAAAGGUCUUCAGACCAACAACAAAUUUCCGCACACUACAUACUCAAAAAGGGGGAAAAACGAAUAAGCAAAGGUAUAGCAGGGAUUUGUAAGUUCAGGCCACCAACACAACCCUCUACAGACCCAGGCAUCUAUGCUUACGAGGUGUAC
rnacentral:lncRNA from 1 species